UGCAGUGAACAUUGUGGGCAAUGUUUUGUCAAUAUCAUUUCAAAUAGCAAGGAGGCGUGCCAUGCUCUGGAGGUCCUGCUGACUGAGGAACACCGCGAGCUGCAGGUGGAGAGGGCUUACUGGGAGUGACUGCGUGAGGCCACCCAACCCAGGGAGCAGGAGGUUCCUUCUAAGCCACGGAAGGGGAAGAGUACCACACUGGGCAGUACCUCACUGUGCAGGACCCCACCUAGUGGUUUCCCAGGGAAUUACGGCUCAUUCUGCAGCUGGGGUUUCCCCUAAUGUCACAGGGCAGCAAGGGAAUCCCCCAGUACACCAGACAACUAAUACUGCGUCCGUGACCCCACAGCCCAUCACUUGACUCCUAUUUUUUAGCUGUCACAAAUACUGUGCCACAGAUAAUGUUUCCAAAUACAUCUACACAUAUUCCAUAGUCACUUAUUAGUGCAGUCACACUGAACCUGGAGUCUGUCCCAGGAAGCAAAGGGUGAGAGGCAGGGGACACCUUGGAUGGGAUGCCGGUCCAUGACAUGGCAUUCACUCAUAUUACAGGUAAUCAGGAGACAUCAACAACCCUCAGAUCUGAGCCUCUCUGUCUACAGUGGUGAUGUCCCAAUUAUGUCUGGGCUCCAGGAGUGCCUGGCGUAUGCAUCAAUAACUGAUUCAGGAAGAGUGGAGCAUCCUCUCAUGCUGACUAAGCCACGGCUCAUGAUGCUGGUGAUGGACGGCGGUGUUGACCGGUGCUCCAGCAAGACUAACGGACAGCAUCCUCGCUUUCCUGUUUCCAAUAGCAACUGACAGAGCACUGGGGAAGGGAGCGGCCAACACCCAGUGUGGAUGUGGGUAAGCAAGGCUAUGUGCAGGUAGGCAGGCCUAUGUUGGGUUAGCAGGCCUAUGUGCGGGUUAGCAGGCCUAUGUGCGGGUUAGCAGGCCUAUGUUGGGUAAGUAGGCCUAUGUUGGGUAAGUAGGCCUAUGUGCGGGUAGGCAGGCCUAUGUGCGGGUAGGCAGGCCUAUGUGCGGGUUAGCAGGACUAUGUGCGGGUGAGCUUGUUGCAUGGAGUGAUGGUUCUUAAUUCGUAUGAAAGGUCAUUGUAAACCUGAUAUGUACAUUUUCUUAUUUUCUGCUCAUUUCAGACUAGGGAAGCUAAAAUUUUCACAUACAUGUCUGUCAGUGAUGAUUUAAUGCUUUAAUUCUGUGAUGCGCUCAUAUAAGCCAAUGUUAUUAAACAGUAUUGCUCAUUUGAAAUGAGUUUACUAUCUGUGUAAGGUGAGCACAAGGUUUGCCAGUCACGUUUUUCAUUACGUUUCAAAAAUAAUUCUGUGUUUUUCUCAUAUUCACCUUUCUGGUUCGGUUAUUGCUCGGCUGCUCAGCCGCCAGCAUGGCUGCACUCGAUAAUCAUUUUGUCAUGAUGUCAUUAAGUCUCCAGUCACCUGCUUCCCAGGCGAGGUCAGAGUGUCCAUGGGUGUGGGCAUAUUAGCACGACCUCAUGCCUAACCCCCUUCCCCGAAGCUUACUGUCUUCUGAAACUCAUUACCCAAUUAUUAACAUGGCCGAUCAUCUGCUUCCAGUUCGGUCCAGCAUGAUUUUUGCAUUUACAUUUACGCUGCUAAGCCAACAUUGUGACUGAGGCACAUCCAUGUCCUUUCACACAUUCAAAUUCUCCGUGAGCAGGAUUUAACUGUGAGCCCUACAUACAGCCUCUCUGUAGCACCUCCUGACACCUGAGGGUUAGGCUUGGAUCCAGCCUGAGAUUUGUCUGCCAAGGACGGCCUACCUCCCCAUCUGUAACGGCCUAUCAGCGUGAUCAGUGUAUAUAAAGGCAGAGCGGAUAGCCCAUGGCAGAGACAGUGAAGCCCAUGGCAGAGACAGUGAAGCCCAUGGCAGAGACAGUGAAGCCCAUGGCAGAGACAGUGAAGCCCAUGGCAGAGACAGUGAAGCCCAUGGCAGAGACAGUGAAGCCCAUGGCAGAGACAGUGAAGGCCCUAUGCUCAGACCGGAGAGGAGGAGAUUCAUUUAAGGAAAGUACUUCCUUAGCUGCUGCAGGAGUAUUAAAUCCUGAAAUUAACUGAACUGAACUAUUUAUCAGCCAACCUACAGGGCAUCUCGCUGUUACGGAAACCGCCGAACAAGAUGGCGUCGCGUCGGCCUGGACGUGUCACUGCGGAUUUAGACGGCUAAAUGAGAAUAAGUGCUGCAGUGUUUCACCUUGGAGCCGCACGAUCAGGAGCCGCUCGGCGCUGAGAGGCCGAGAUUCGGGGCUGAGAUUAAUGACACGGCACAUGCCACCCAGGGCCAGAAAGUCUAACAGGGACCUGCUGUUGAGUGCGUUACAGGAAUGCUUAUAAAGUACAGCCUUUGUACCAGACUGUUGCGUUUGCAUGGCUUGGGUACCAUGUCUGAGCUGUAGGCACCGAAGGCCAGAAAUUCUCAGACUUCACAGAGGCAACACCUUCAUUUCGUUCCUGCCAAGACCCUGAGUGUUUCCCCUCUGCGAUCUGCAGCUCCGAGUUGCUCCGUUACUCGAGUGACCCACACAAAGCCCUGCUUUGAUGCUUCAUCCAGCCAUUUUAGCAUAAACAGCCAAAGUUCAGCCGCCUCCCCAAGCUGGUCCCAUCCAUGCUUUCCUUCCUUCACAGUGAAGUGUGGAAAAUGGCGGCUGUCGUUGCGGUUAGGCCCUGAGCCCAAGCGUUCCUGCCCACAUUCCCAGGAGUCUUGCGCUUUCUCCCUAUAUUCCCAAUUCCUAUUGUUUGUUUUUGCAGGAUGUCGCAGCUUUGUGGUACACCAGAGAGAACUUCCACACAUGGCGGGGCUGACAAAAUGAAUGGGGGGGGCAGGCCUCUCUGGUGCCCCCCAUGGAGCUGAUGUUGUGUUACACUGAGAUAAAAAACGCCCUUGAAAGUGAGCUACUGAUAUAGGGAUCAGCACACAUUAGGACAUGAGUGCCUUCCUGUCUGGCUGAUAUCGACGCCCCCUGGCUUACAGCAGGGAUACUGCAAGGGUUUAGCAGGGGUAAUGCUGCACUGGGUGCUCAAGCACGGGGGGGGGGGUCCCGGUGGAGGAGAGACUGACCCCCCUCUGUGACGCCACCGCACAUCUGGAGCCAAUAACCGUGGAGGAAAGUGCCCC